GGGCCGGUAGCUCAGCGGUUAGAGCCGCGGACUCAUAAUCCGUAGGUCCCUGGUUCGAAUCCAGGCCGGCCCA
rnacentral:tRNA from 1 species